rnacentral:sRNA from 1 species
GAUCAAGUUUGCGAACAUUCUUGUAGUGGGUAGGCGCAUGGGCAGGAUGGUGUAACCAUCCGGCGGAAGCCACCCAUGCGCAGAACGAGGCUCCUCCGGGGGCCUUUUUUAUGCCUCCA